rnacentral:rRNA from 1 species
CCUACGGGAGGCAGCAGUGGGGAAUAUUGGACAAUGGGGGCAACCCUGAUCCAGCCAUGCCGCGUGUGUGAAGAAGGCCCUCGGGUUGUAAAGCACUUUCAGCGAGGAAGAACGCCUAGCGGUUAAUACCCGCUAGGAAAGACAUCACUCGCAGAAGAAGCACCGGCUAACUCCGUGCCAGCAGCCGCGGUAAUACGGAGGGUGCAAGCGUUAAUCGGAAUUAUUGGGCGUAAAGCGCGCGUAGGUGGCUUGAUAAGCCGGUUGUGAAAGCCCCGGGCUCAACCUGGGAACGGCAUCCGGAACUGUCAAGCUAGAGUGCAGGAGAGGAAGGUAGAAUUCCCGGUGUAGCGGUGAAAUGCGUAGAGAUCGGGAGGAAUACCAGUGGCGAAGGCGGCCUUCUGGACUGACACUGACACUGAGGUGCGAAAGCGUGGGUAGCAAACAGGAUUAGAUACCCUGGUAGUCCACGCCGUAAACGAUGUCGACCAGCCGUUGGGUGCCUAGCGCACUUUGUGGCGAAGUUAACGCGAUAAGUCGACCGCCUGGGGAGUACGGCCGCAAGGUUAAAACUCAAAUGAAUUGACGGA